rnacentral:lncRNA from 1 species
CUGAUAGGAGCAUAUUUAUGCGACUGAGUUAGCUUGUUCUCAUGCAUUUAUGUUGUUAUUUCUUAGUUAAUUACAUAUUUUAAGCUAUUUUCAUGUGUUUGUAGGUCCAUAGGCCUUAUAAAGCAAUAAGAUGCAUUUUCGUGCAUUUUGGAGCAGUUUUGGGCUUGGAAUGAAUAACACAUGCAUGGAGUAAGAUGGA